CUCUGCUUGCUCGCCCGCUUGUGACUCCCCUUCCUCUCCCCCUCCCGGACAGAGAGCUCUCGAGAGGAGAGGCUCAAUGCGUCCAGGACACCCAGGCGGCGGCGGCGGCGCAGGAGGCGGGAGAAGCAGUGAAGACCAUACGCUGCUGCUCUGUCGGUGACCAAGGACGACAAAAGGAAGGCCAGGAUGGAUUCAGCGCCUCGCGACGACAAGGUCAGGACCCGUGUGGCCGCCUCCCCCACUGCUGGGAAAGGGAUCCCCUUUUCCUUGCCCCCCGCCGGUGCUGGCCGCCAGCACGCAUCCUGUCUCGCGGUGCGGCUUCCGUUGCCACGCUGAGGAGUAACGGGGGGACGCAGCCGCUGAAGGUGUUUUGCGUCGGCAGUGCUCUAUGUGAUUGAAAAGUAUACCGGCUUAGGAUCAAUUUAGAUGGUUAAUCUUUUGGCAGUGGAGAAACUAAGAUGCAUAUAUUCUUGGACAGACUUUUCGGUAUGUUAUUAGCUUUAAGAAAUUUAAUUACUUCAGUAAUAAGAGAUUUACUCUUAAAUGCAAUACAAGAUUUGCAUGAAAGGAUAAUUGCUUAUGGUUCCUGCUAACGUAUUGUUUGCUACCUGGCAUAGGUAUACUCUAUUUAUGUAAAGUAUAUACCUUACAAAGGUCUGAUUCAAAUAGAGGUUUCUGGUUUGAUUUUGCAUUUUGCUUUGGUUUAAAAGUUAUGUUGUUUUGCAUCAGAGAUUUCUUUCUUUGGAAGACGCCAGUUUUAGAGUUUUAGAUGAGAUAUGAUCUAUUCGUUUGAAUGGAAUGUUUCUCUCAUUCACCAUGAUGAAGGAUAUUUGUCACAACUUAAAAUCAGCUUGAUCCUAUUUUUCACAUGUACGGCAACAACAUCAUAACCAAGGUAUUUUACAUGUUCCCCCUAUGUAUAGUGGAUUUUGUGGUGUUGUUUACCACCGUCGGAGCUGCGACUGUGCAUGAAGCAAUUGAAAUUAUGCGUAUGAUCGAUGGCCUUUUAUAAGGUUUGUUCUUAAGAGUUUUUCGUGCGGUCCUUUUUUUGUUUGAGAGUAUGCAAUACUUCUGCAUAGUUUGAAUAAGGAAUUUGAUAUAUGACCCUCCUUGCUCCCACGAGGAAUGAGUAAUUUUGAUAUACUUAUUCAUUUUAGUGUCUUCCAAUAUGAACUAAGGCUUUCUGUUUUUCUAUUUGAGUUAUAGGCUUGCCUGAUGUAAGAAAACAACAAUGUGUCGGGAGAGAGCAUUUCUUGAUCGAACCAAGCGAUGAUUUUUCCUAUUUUUCUACUUGGAAUAUUUACUUGAGUAAUUACUGAGGAGCACAACUCGGAUCAUGUGUGAGAAUGAGGAGGAUAUCGGUCAUGUGCAACUUUGGAUGGUUCCCAAGUUUGGUGCUAAUUGUAAACCUGUAUGAGGAUGGAUCCGUGGUGUUCAUGGUGACGUGUCCAGGAAGGUGGCGCCAUGGAUUCUCGCCUGCAGCUUCCUAGCUACUCUGCUCAUCUCCCAUGUCUUUGGGUUUCAUGAAUGCACGCACAUCGAUGAGCACACGGCCCUGGUGAGUGAGCAAAUGUUAUCCGUGGCCGCCCCCUGCCCAUGGCUGCAAUUGGGUGGCCAUUGUGAAAAUGAGCUAUCUUUGAAUGAAGUAAUGGUUGCGGUGGAACCUUAUGGGUAAAUGCAGGAGGUAGGAUCCAGAAUGAUGACCUCAACACUGUCACCUACCUCAUCCGCCUAUGCUUCAGUUUUCAGGAAAUUUUUGAGAGGAUCUUCCGCUUGUGAGUGAAGGCAACUACGAACAAAGAAUUGAUCUAGCUUGAGAAAGGAAAGAAAGAUCCUCUUUCAAUAUAGGGAUGCAUUCAAGGAAUAGUGUAGUUUGUAUAUUGUGUACUUCUCUAGGAUAUGCAGUAUUGCCCAUUCUUCAAAAGCUUUUUCGUGUAUGUCAAGCCUUAUCUCUAGGAUGCUGCUACUGGUGUUGGUUUCAGAAUCUUGGAUGGGCUGACCAAUCUUGCUGCUGCUGCAUGUACUGGAUGCUGUUGCCACACAUGCUGCUGUUGCUGCCUUGAUGCUCUUAAUGUUUUCCCCCAAAUGAUAAACCACUAUUCUAUUGAAGGAAGAAACUCCAUUUGGUGCCAAGGAUUAAAUCAUACAUAGAUUUAGUUGGUGGCAAUAAACUAACAGCAGGAGCAGCUUAACAUGUAACAGAAAGUGGUGGUCUAACUCAUCUCACUAGAAUAGCCAUUUACUUCAAAAUUGUAAAUCAAUCUUGUACGGUUUGAGGUCAGGCUGUGUUGUAUCAUAGUCCAUAGGUUUGCCUUUGACUUUUAACAUCCACCUGCUAAUUGCAUUUUGCGGAAUGGAAAUAUAAAUUUGGGGUUUCAACCUUGGCUGAAUACAUAACCAUUGUAAUUAAAUUCUAUUUUGCAUGUGACUGUAAUGUACAGCUGCCAUUGUAGUGAAUUUGGGCGCACAUGACCGGUGAGGAGGCGCCCCAUGAGGCG